rnacentral:lncRNA from 1 species
AUGUGGAUCAUAUUAGAGAGAGACUGCCACUGGCUAUCCUCCGUUCUUAGAAAAUAUGGAAACAAUUUCUCAGCGACCUCUCUAAUCCUUUUCCAGGAAAAACCCAAACUAGGAGUCCAUUUUACAGAUAAACAAGUGGUCAGAUUCCUUUCCUGGCUUGAAGGAGACUUUUCCCCUGGAUCCUGCAUCAGGCUUGUUGGGAAUUGGGGAAAUAAAUAAAAACCCAGAAGUUUGGAAGAAUGGACAAGGGAGUCUGAAGAAAUUCCCAUUGGAUUGUCUAAGCUCUUUCAAUGAUUAUUAUUGUUAGAUGUGCUAAAGGUAAGAUCUUACAAUGAAAAUAUAAAGGCAAUACUUAAAAUUAUUUGAAUCUUAUCAAACAUUUUUAGUGAAAAGAAGUAAAAUACAUAUUCAUUGACCUUUUUACUUUCCUCUGACAUUUCUUUCCAAGAUGUACUUGCAUAGAGGAAGACAUACAACAGAGGUUGCUUAGAAUUAUAGAUUUAGAGGUAGAAGUGGCCUUGAAGGCCAUCUAGACUAACUCAGUGAGGGAACUAAAGCCCAGAAGAUAGAUUGUUUGCCCAUGGUCACACAUGUGAUUAGUGCCAGUAAGCUGAACAGGCAUUCAAACAUAGGUGCUCUUACAUCCAAUCCAGUGUUCUUUCCCCUGAACCACACAACUUCUUUCUCGGGAGGUAUGCUUUGCCUGCCUCUUUAAAGAAGCUCAAUAAAUUUUGCGUUUUCCCCA